AACGAACGCUGGCGGCGUGCCUAACACAUGCAAGUCGAACGAGAAAGGGGCUUCGGCUCCGAGUCAAGUGGCGCACGGGUGAGUAACACGUGGGUAACCUGCCUCUAAGAUUGGGAUAACUCGUCGAAAGAUGAGCUAAUACCGAAUAAGACCACAGUUCCCGCGGGAACAGGGGUCAAAGGUAGCCUCUGCUUGCAAGCUAUCACUUAGAGAUGGGCCUGCGCACCAUUAGCUAGUUGGUAGGGUAACGGCCUACCAAGGCAAAGAUGGUUAGCUGGUCUGAGAGGAGGAUCAGCCACACUGGAACUGAGACACGGUCCAGACUCCUACGGGAGGCAGCAGUGGGGAAUAUUGCGCAAUGGGCGAAAGCUUGACGCAGCAACGCCGCGUGAGUGAUGAAGGCCUUCGGGUCGUAAAGCUCUGUCGGGAGGAACGAAUGCUCCUGAGGUUAACAGCCUCGGGAGGUGACGGUACCUUCAAAGGAAGCACCGGCUAACUCUGUG
rnacentral:rRNA from 1 species